CUGGCAGUUCUCUGACACAGCGGUUGUGCAGUUGGGAGUGAGGAGGCUGAUGUGGGUGUCACCCAAGGGAUUUCAAUGUGUUUUUCAAAAGGAUAAUGAAACGGCCUGUUUGGUGCAGCACGCUUCCAAAGAUGGAGAGUCCUUUAAAAUUAGUCCACUUCACCCGUGAAAAGACAGACAUCAUUAAUAUUCUUCUAGGACAUUUUGAACACCUGGAGCACAUCCCAGCUGUCCUGAGCCCAGAACACCAUCAGUGGGCUGAGAGUAAGCUCUUCUCAUCCAGAAAGAAAUAGAGCUGUUCCAAGUCUCUGUCACCUUGGAGCUUCCUUUAGGGCAGAGGAUCUGCCGGCUCUGACAGCCCGGCAUGAGGAGCAUUUUACAUCUGGAUACCACAAAACGCUUUACAGAGGCGGAUCUUUCUGUUUGAAAGGAGAAGGAAGCCCUAGCUUGGUUACUUGAUCUAGAGGGAAUUUGAAGCCAGUAGCAGAUACAGGUUUAUUAUUAAGACUCACUGGUUUCUUGCUCUGUCAUAGC